CACAAACUAUUUUAUGUUCUACUCGAGAUGUCAUCUAUGCAUAGACCUAGCUCAUGAUGCCACUGUUGGGAAUUGUCGCAUGGGAAACAAAAAAAUUCCUUCACGUGCACAAGAUCUAUCCAUGGUGAUGACCAUCUAUGUGAGUGGAGAGUGCAUCUACAUACCUUGUAGAUUGCUAAGCGGAAGCGUAUAUAACGCGAUUGAUGUAGUGAACAUCUUCGCGAUCCAAAUCGCAGCCCGUCCCGCGAUCUCAUGACGAUCCUUCCCGAUCAAGCGUCGAACGGACGACACCUCCGUGUUCAGCAC
rnacentral:lncRNA from 1 species